rnacentral:miRNA from 1 species
UCUCACGACGUAAUAGCGGCGCC